GCCAUAGUCACCGUAGUCCUGGCGACUGUAACCCACCAACAACAACAACCUCUCGUUCCAUCAUUGCCACCUCCACCAUCCUCACUUCAUCCUCAUCAACCAGUCCUCAGCCCAGUUUUGAGGAGCGUCUGUGCGAGCUGGUGAGACAAUACGAGAACGUAUACAACCCUUUGAUGCGGUUGUAUUCGGACAAGCAAAAGACAACAGCUGGAGGGAGAUAUCACGGAAUUUGAACACCGGUACUGAUAUCAAAGAAACAUGGAGAAAGAUUCGGGACCGGUAUGUUCGCAAUCUGAAAAGGGUGAUGGAGAUGAGUAGUGGGGUCUGCCGCUGGUGUGUGUCCCACCGAUUGUCAGACAACUGGAUUGGCUUCGUGUUCACGUGAAGCAUCAUCAGACAGACAACAAUAUGCCAGAUACGUCCAGAGAUGGAGCUGAGCCCUGAGGGGCCCAUCUACAGGUGGUUCAUCGCCCCUUGAUUCAUCAUCUCCCCGGCUAGCAAAGACCCAUGCUCUCUGCCCUGCAACUCCAUCAACCUCCAUCCCAUCUCCCCGGCCCAGCUCCAAUGGCCGGAAGAGGAAGACCGCCUGGGAUCCUUUGGACGCUGACAUUAUGCAGCGUGUGGAUGACUGCAGCAGGAGUAACAGAGACAGCAGCAGUGUCCAGCAAAGGCUGUCUACGAUGUCGUGGUACCAGGGAUGGUAUCUAUUCCUUUUGUUUGUCUCACUCAAAAAACGAUUGUGGUUUUUUUUUAAUUAUUGUACAUACGUUAGGGGGGUGGGUAAUUUUCCCGGGGGUUUUUUGUAUGUUUUUUUACACUUAUUUCCUCAUUCAUGUGUUACUGGUGUUUACUUUGUUUAAAAAAGUCUUAUUUCCCCUUUUCAUCACACUUCACCUGUUUUUACAUUGCACUAUUUUCUUCAUGUGGUAGUAAAUACAUAUCUAAAAGGUC